CAGCAGCCACGGGAAUAAAGAGGAUGCAAGCGUUAUCCGGAAUGAUUGGGAAUAAAGUGUCUGUAGGUGGCUUUUCAAGUCCGCCGUCAAAUCCCCGAGCUCAACCCUGGACAAGCAGUGGAAACUACCAAGAUGGAGUACGGUAGGGGUAGAGGGAAUUUCUGGUGGAGCGGUGAAAUGCGUUGAGAUCGGAAAGAACACCAACGGCGAAAGCACUCUGCUGGGCCGACACUGACACUGAGAGACGAAAGCUAGGGGAGCAAAUGGGAUUAGAUACCCCUGUAGUCCCUGUCUCUUAUAC
rnacentral:rRNA from 1 species